rnacentral:rRNA from 1 species
CCUACGGGAGGCAGCAGUGAGGAAUAUUGGUCAAUGGGCGCAAGCCUGAACCAGCCAAGUCGCGUGAGGGAUGACGGUCCUAUGGAUUGUAAACCUCUUUUGUCGGGGAGCAAGGCCCGCCACGUGUGGCGGGAAGGAGAGUACCCGAAGAAAAAGCAUCGGCUAACUCCGUGCCAGCAGCCGCGGUAAUACGGGGGAUGCGAGCGUUAUCCGGAUUUAUUGGGGUUAAAGGGUGCGUAGGCGGAAGGUUAAGUCAGCGGUAAAAUGUCGGUGCGCAACACCGGCCUGCCGUUGAAACUGGUCUUCUUGAGUGAGCGAGAAGUAUGCGGAAUGGGUGGUGUAGCGGUGAAAUGCAUAGAUAUCACGCAGAACUCCGAUUGCGAAGGCAGCAUACCGGCGCUCAACUGACGCUGAGGCACGAAAGCGUGGGGAUCGAACAGGAUUAGAUACCCUUGUAGUC